rnacentral:rRNA from 1 species
UACGAAGGGGGCUAGCGUUGUUCGGAAUUACUGGGCGUAAAGGGCGCGCAGGCGGUCUUCCAAGUCGGAUGUGAAAGCCCGGGCUCAACCUGGGAACUGCAUUCGAGACUGGGGGACUUGAGUUCGGGAGAGGAGAGCGGAAUUCCCAGUGUAGAGGUGAAAUUCGUAGAUAUUGGGAAGAACACCGGUGGCGAAGGCGGCUACUCUGGACCGAUACUGACGCUG